AGGGAAUCUUCCACAAUGGACGAAAGUCUGAUGGAGCAACGCCGCGUGAGUGAUGAAGGGUUUCGGCUCGUAAAACUCUGUUGUUGGAGAAGAACAGGUGUGAGAGUAACUGUUCACAUCUUGACGGUAUCCAACCAGAAAGCCACGGCUAACUACGUGCCAGCAGCCGCGGUAAUACGUAGGUGGCAAGCGUUGUCCGGAUUUAUUGGGCGUAAAGCGAGCGCAGGCGGUUUUCUUAGGUCUGAUGUGAAAGCCUUCGGCUUAACCGGAGAAGUGCAUCGGGAAACCA
rnacentral:rRNA from 1 species